rnacentral:rRNA from 1 species
GAUGAACGCUAGCGGCAGGCCUAAUACGUGCAAGUCAAGGGGAUAGCAAUAUCACCGGCGGACGGGUGCGUAACGCGUACACAACGUGCCCAAGGGCGGAGGAAAGCGGCGGGAAACUGCCGGUAAUACUCCAUGGUGUUGUUGAGUGGCAUCACUUAACAACUAAAGUACAAGCGCCCUUGGAUCGGUGUGCGUUCGAUUAGCUAGUUGGCGGGGUAACGGCCCACCAAGGCUUCGAUCGAUAGGGGGUGUGAGAGCAUGACCCCCCCACACGGGUACUGAGACACGGACCCGACUCCUACGGGAGGCAGCAGUAAGGAAUAUUGGACAAUGGGCGGAAGCCUGAUCCAGCCAUGCCGCGUGAAGGACGAAGGCGCUCAGCGUUGUAAACUUCUUUUGGAUGGGAACAAUAACUCCGACUUGUCGGAACUUGAGGGUACCAUCAGAAUAAGCACCGGCUAACUCCGUG